GGUAAAGUAUGAUUCUAGACUGCCAAUAAUGUCAAAACAAUAAUUUUAAAAUAAAAUCGACCGUCCCUAUCGCAAGUGGCAAAGGGCUUGGUGGUUGGUACCCGAGGUCCCAAAUUCGAAUCCUAGUUUAUUCACAUUUCUAACUAAGUUUAUUUCUAAAUGAAAUAAACGAAGCGGGUAGCGCGCUACCUAUCUCUCAAAAAAUAUAUAUAUAAUUUUAAAAUAAUUAAACACUCCAAAAAUUUGCCAAUCACUUCUCUAAUUUCUGUAACCAAUAUUGAUU
rnacentral:lncRNA from 1 species